rnacentral:rRNA from 1 species
GAUGAACGCUGGCGGCGUGCCUAAUACAUGCAAGUCGAGCGAACAGAUAAGGAGCUUGCUCCUUUGACGUUAGCGGCGGACGGGUGAGUAACACGUGGAUAACCUACCUAUAAGACUGGGAUAACUUCGGGAAACCGGAGCUAAUACCGGAUAACAUAUUGAACCGCAUGGUUCAAUAGUGAAAGGCGGCUUUGCUGUCACUUAUAGAUGGAUCCGCGCCGUAUUAGCUAGUUGGUAAGGUAACGGCUUACCAAGGCAACGAUACGUAGCCGACCUGAGAGGGUGAUCGGCCACACUGGAGCUGAGACACGGUCCAGACUCCUACGGGAGGCAGCAGUAGGGAAUCUUCCGCAAUGGGCGAAAGCCUGACGGAGCAACGCCGCGUGAGUGAUGAAGGUCUUCGGAUCGUAAAACUCUGUUAUCAGGGAAGAACAAAUGUGUAAGUAACUGUGCACAUCUUGACGGUACCUGAUCAGAAAGCCACGGCUAACUACGU